rnacentral:rRNA from 1 species
GGAGGGUGCAAGCGUUAUCCGGAUUCACUGGGUUUAAAGGGUGCGUAGGUGGCUUUGUAAGUCAGUGGUGAAAUCUUAGAGCUUAACUCUAAAACUGCCAUUGAUACUGCUUAGCUUGAAUCAAGUAGAGGUGGAUGGAAUAUUACAUGUAGCGGUGAAAUGCUUAGAUAUGUAAUAGAACACCGAUUGCGAAGGCAGUUCACUAUGCUUGUAUUGACACUGAGGCACGAAAGCGUGGGGAUCAAACAGGAUUAGAUACCCUGGUAGUCCACGCCCUAAACGAUGUAAACUCGACAUUAGCGAUAUACAGUUAGUGUCCAAGCGAAAGCGUUAAGUUUACCACCUGGGAAGUACGUCCGCAAGGAUG